rnacentral:rRNA from 1 species
UGGGGGAUAUUGCACAAUGGGCGAAAGCCUGAUGCAGCGACGCCGCGUGGGGGAUGAAGGCUUUCGGGUUGUAAACCUCUUUCGCUAUCGAACAAGGCCCGCUUAGGGUGGGUUGAGGGUAGGUGGAGAAGAAGCGCCGGCUAACUACGUGCCAGCAGCCGCGGUAAUACGUAGGGCGCGAGCGUUGUCCGGAAUUAUUGGGCGUAAAGGGCUUGUAGGCGGCUUGUUGCGCCUGCUGUGAAAACGCGGGGCUUAACUUCGCGCGUGCAGUGGGUACGGGCAGGCUUGAGUGUGGUAGGGGUGACUGGAAUUCCAGGUGUAGCGGUGGAAUGCGCAGAUAUCUGGAGGGACGCCGAUGGCGAAGGCAGGUCACUGGGCCAUUACUGACGCUGAGGAGCGAAAGCAUGGGUAGCGAACAGG